AUUGAACGCUGGCGGCAUGCCUUACACAUGCAAGUCGAACGGUAACGCGGGGCAACCUGGCGACGAGUGGCGAACGGGUGAGUAAUGUAUCGGAACGUGCCCAGUAGUGGGGGAUAGCCCGGCGAAAGCCGGAUUAAUACCGCAUACGACCUACGGGUGAAAGGGGGGGAUCGCAAGACCCCCCGCACUUGGAGCGGCCAAUAUCAGAUUCGGUAGUUGGUGGGGUAAAAGCCCACCAAGCCGACGAUCUGUAGCUGGUCUGAGAGGACGACCAGCCACACUGGGACUGAGACACGGCCCAGACUCCUACGGGAGGCAGCAGUGGGGAAUUUUGGACAGUGGGCGCAAGCCUGAUCCAGCCAUACCGCGUGCGGGAAGAAGGCCUUCGGGUUGUAAACCGCUUCUGUCAGGGAAGAAAUCCCUUGGGUUAAUACCUCGGGGGAUGACGGUACCUGAAGAAUAAGCACCGGCUAACUACGUGCCAGCAGCCGCCGCAG
rnacentral:rRNA from 1 species